UACGUAGGGGGCAAGCGUUGUCCGGAAUCAUUGGGCGGUAAAGCGCGUGUAGGCGGCUUGGUAAGUCCGUUCUGAAAGCCCGGGGCUCAACCCCGGGAGGCGGAUGGAUACUGUCAAGCUUGAGUCCGGAAGAGGCGAGUGGAAUUCCCGGUGUAGCGGUGAAAUGCGCAGAUAUCGGGAGGAACACCAAUGGCGAAGGCAGCUCGCUGGGACGUGGACUGACGCUGAGACGCGAAA
rnacentral:rRNA from 1 species